rnacentral:lncRNA from 1 species
CAUGGCUAUGUUGCUUUGAUGCUCUUGUUCUCUAGAUUGCGGAACUGAAAGGAUAACGUGGAUUGGCAUAGACUGUUUUAUGUACACUCUCUUGCCACCCAGUAGCAGUCACACAACCCCCUCCCUCCUCAGCCUCACCCAACAUCUCAAGCCCUUUGAUUUUAUUUCCAAAGGUUGAGAAUAUUUCUCUUGAUUGUUUUUGUUUUUCCAGUGCUGGUGAUUGAACCCAAGGCCUUGGGCAUGCUAGCCAAGUACUCGAUCACAGAGCUACGCUCCAACAUCUUACCACUUAAAGUAUCCACAAAAAUAACUUCUCAAGACCAUUAUGAAGAAAUGUUUACCUGUAGUUCUCAGGAGGAAAAAAAAACAUCUUCCUAUAGGAAAAGUCUUUUAUAUGUAACAAGUUUGAUUGGGGGCUUGAGCAUAGGGAGAAAUUUUUCUAUAUUUAGCAAAAGGAGUCAUCGGAUUUUUUUAAGAGGCUGAGGAAAGUUGGUCUACAUGUUGGCCUCAUGGUUCUAAAAAUGAAAAUAAAAUACAUAAUAAAGGUUGAGUUGGUAGAAAGUGCAAGGAUAUAUUAUAACAAAAUAAGCCACUUUUUUUGUUGUUAGGUAUUGUAUCUUCUCUAUAGAGUACAGCCCUCCAUCUCUGUAGGUGUCACGUCCAUGGAUUUUAGCAACCAAAAAAUAAUUGGGGAAAAUCGUGUUUAUACUAAACGUACUUGUGGUAUGCAUUAUUAGUCAUUAUAAGUCAUAUAAGAUGGCUGAAUUCUACAGAAAGAUGUGUGCAGGUUCUAUGCAAACAUUCUGCCAUUUUACAUAAUGAAUUUGAGCAUCACUGAUUCUGUCAUCCACAGGGCUUCCUGGAACAGAUCCCCUGAGGAUACCAAGGGACAGCUGACUAAAGACUGCUGCUUGCUUUCUAGAUUAAGGAGCAUCUUAGAUACUGAGUCUAGGUUAUAAACAGCAGUGGAUCAUGGAAUAGGCACAUUUGCUGAGACCACAUAGAUGAAACUGGCAAAACUCAUGCAGAUAUUUAUUAUCACACAUAAAAGGAACAGCCCCCAGGAAAUGCUCCAUAUAUCUUGAGUGGGCAGCUGCCUCACAGCUAAUCUGGUGUUUACCAGUAGUUCCAAAAGGAUCUAGAAAAACCGGGUAGAGAAAGCAAUGAUUGAUCAUAUAGCAGUCUUUUUUGUUUGGGUUUGUGUUGUUUUCUGAGCAUUUUCCCAGAAUCUAUAUGGACAGUGGCUUCCCUCCUCUCUUGAAAACAAUAAGACCUUCACUUUUCAAUCUUUCCAUAGCCCUUAUUUAGUGCUUCAGGGAGCCAUUUGUGAAAAUUGCUUCUUGUGUUGAUAUCCAUGUGGGGAGUGGGAUGGAUGUUGUUGCUUUUGAUCUAAGGCACAGUUUCAAGUCAAAGACUCUGAGGAGAGAAACAGGAGAACUCUUGGUGAUGAAUCUAUUCUUUUACCUGGGGACCAUUGCCACCAUAGUGGUGACAGCAAAAUUGGUGUCUUGCUAUCUUGAAAUUAGAUCACAAGAAUUGUCAACACCAAUAAAACUGGAAUUGCAGGUGUUGGGGUCAGACUAAUGGUGUCUGUGCUGACCACAGCGUGACCCACGAGAACCAUGGGCUGCGUCUCCCUGAGGCAGCAGGACUUGUGUAAGAAGCUGGAUCCACAAGAACACCACUUCCUGGAAACAGUCUUUAUUCUCUUCCUUACCAGCAUGACAGGCUUUCCUAGAAACUUCAGUAGUACUGAAUACAAACCUCCCAUCAGCAAAAACUUGCUUUAUUUUCUUUGUUUAGAGGUAUGUUUCAAAUGUGUGUUCAUUAUAUAUUCUUAAAGCAUUUUGCUAGAGCUUCCUGCUAAUUACCUACUGAAUUCAUGUGACUUCACCUGUCUUAAACAGUUUAAUG